CAGGGAGACAACAAAAUGUUUAAUUUUAUUAUUUUGUCACCUUAGGUCGAUCGGUAUCUCAUGUUCUUAUUUAUUAAGAAUUUCAUUUCCUAAGUUUUUCUAGGUCACACCCAUUAUUUUUCCUGGGCCAUUAGCUCAGGUGGUUAGAGCGCACCCCUGAUAAGGGUGAGGUCCCUGGUUCAAGUCCAGGAUGGCCCAUAUCUCUAUGUUGGGGGUAUAGCUCAGUUGGUAGAGCGCCUGCUUUGCAAGCAGGAUGUCAGCGGUUCGAGUCCGCUUACCUCCACUGAUUACCACCUCUUCCGUAAUUUGUAGAAAGGAAAUGUUUUGAGUUGUGAUCAAAUUCUGAACGAAUCUAGCUUCCUAAUGAAAUCAUUAAGAUGCUGGACUCAUUGAAUUAAUUUCAUUGUUUUCAGAGAACCUUGACAACUGCAUAGAUUAUUUUUAAAGACAAUAAGCAUCUUUAAUGAUGCGGAUUUAUUAUUUGUGCGAAUGCAUUAAUAACAAUUCUAUUAAGCUGAUGCUUCAAUAUUGAAGUUAUU
rnacentral:tRNA from 1 species